AAAUAGGCCCUUUUUAGGGCCACAAAUUAAAAAUGCAAGGGCCUUU
rfam:Stegodyphus mimosarum contig45079, whole genome shotgun sequence.